AACGAACGCUGGCGGCAGGCCUAACACAUGCAAGUCGAACGCACCGCAAGGUGAGUGGCGCACGGGUGAGUAACACGUGGGAAUGUACCCUUUGGUUCGGAAUAACGUUUGGAAACGAACGCUAAUACCGGAUGAGCCCUGCGGGGGAAAGAUUUAUCGCCAACGGAGCAGCCCGCGUCUGAUUAGGUAGUUGGUGGGGUAAAGGCCUACCAAGCCGACGAUCAGUAGCUGGUCUGAGAGGAUGAUCAGCCACACUGGGACUGAGACACGGCCCAGACUCCUACGGGAGGCAGCAGUGGGGAAUAUUGGACAAUGGGCGCAAGCCUGAUCCAGCCAUGCCGCGUGAGUGAUGAAGGCCUUCGGGUUGUAAAGCUCUUUCGCACACGACGAUGAUGACGGUAGUGUAAGAAGAAGCCCCGGCUAACUUCGUGCCAGCAGCCGCCGUAAUAC
rnacentral:rRNA from 1 species